GACGAACGCUGGCGGCGUGCUUAACACAUGCAAGUCGAGCGGAAAGGCCCUUCGGGGUACUCGAGCGGCGAACGGGUGAGUAACACGUGAGCAACCUGCCCUUGGCUUUGGGAUAACCCUCGGAAACGGGGGCUAAUACCGGAUAUCCACUUUCUGUCGCAUGGUGGUUGGUGGAAAGUUUUUCGGCUGGGGAUGGGCUCGCGGCCUAUCAGCUUGUUGGUGGGGUGAUGGCCUACCAAGGCGACGGCGGGUAGCCGGCCUGAGAGGGCGACCGGCCACACUGGGACUGAGACACGGCGCAGACUCCUACGGGAGGCAGCAGUGGGGAAUAUUGCACAAUGGGCGCAAGCCUGAUGCAGCGACGCCGCGUGAGGGAAGACGGCCUUCGGGUUGUAAACCUCUUUCAGCAGGGACGAAGGGUGACUGACGGUACCUGCAGAAGAAGCGCCGGCCAACUACGUGCCAGCCGCCGCGGUAAAAC
rnacentral:rRNA from 1 species